AAGUCGUAACAAGGUUUCCGUAGGUGAACCUGCGGAAGGAUCAUUAACGAGUUUUGAAAUGGGUUGUUGCUGGCCUUCCGAGGCAUGUGCACGCCCUGCUCAUCCACUCUACACCUGUGCACUUACUGUAGGUUGGCGUGGGUUUCUAGCCUCCGGGUUGGAAGCAUUCUGCCGGCCUAUGUACACUACAAACUCUUAAAGUAUCAGAAUGUAAACGCGUCUAACGCAUCUUAAUACAACUUUCAGCAACGGAUCUCUUGGCUCUC
rnacentral:misc_RNA from 1 species